rnacentral:rRNA from 1 species
UUAGACUAGAAGUUUAUUGAACUUGAUACUCAUAUUAGAUGAUAAAUUAUAAUUAGUAAAAAAAAUAAAGGUGGAAUUUAGGUUUUUGAGGGAUAUAUGUUUAAAUCUAAAUAAUUUAGGAUCUAAACGAGGAUUAGAUACCCUCUUAUUCUUCAGGUUAUAUAUGAGGGGAGUAGUAGUUAUUACCUUGAAACCUAAAGGGUUUGGCGGUGUCUUCUGUCUACGGAGGAAUCUGUCGAGUAAACGAUAUGCCACGAUAUAUUUUUCCUUUGUAGAGGUUUGUAUACCGUCAUAUGUAUUAUGUGAAAAUAUAUAGUAAAAUGGAGUGUUAUAAAUAGAUUAGAUCAAGGUGCAGCUUAGAAAGGUUCUGAUGGAUUACAUUCUGUUAAUAGGUGGAGGGAGGAUUGAAAAGUUUUCGGAAAAUGGAUUCGUAAGUAAUAGAAUUAAGGGAAGUUCUAUGGAAAGUAAGAGG